UACGUAGGGUGCGAGCGUUGUCCGGAAUUACUGGGCGUAAAGAGCUCGUAGGUGGUUUGUCGCGUUGUUCGUGAAAACUCACAGCUCAACUGUGGGCGUGCGGGCGAUACGGGCAGACUGGAGUACUGCAGGGGAGACUGGAAUUCCUGGUGUAGCGGUGGAAUGCGCAGAUAUCAGGAGGAACACCGGUGGCGAAGGCGGCAUCCUGGACCGACACUGACACUGAGGAGCGAAAGCCAGGGGAGCAAACGGG
rnacentral:rRNA from 1 species